rnacentral:rRNA from 1 species
AUACGAAGGGUGCUAGCGUUGUUCGGAUUUACUGGGCGUAAAGCGCACGUAGGCGGAUUGAUUAGUUAGGGGUGAAAUCCCGAGGCUCAACCUCGGAACUGCCUCUAAAACUGUCAAUCUCGAGACCGGAAGAGGUGAGUGGAACUCCUAGUGUAGAGGUGGAAUUCGUAGAUAUUAGGAAGAACACCAGUGGCGAAGGCGGCUCACUGGUCCGGUACUGACGCUGAGGUGCGAAAGCGUGGGGAGCGAACAGAAUUAGAAACCCAAGUAGUCC